GGGGGCCUACGGGACGCAGCAGUGAGGAAUAUUGGUCAAUGGUCGGGAGACUGAACCAGCCAAGCCGUGUGAGGGAGGAAGGUACAGAGUAUCGUAAACCUCUUUUGUCAGGGAACAAAGACUGGGACGCGUCCCCGGAUGAGUGUACCUGAAGAAAAAGCAUCGGCUAACUCCGUGCCAGCAGCCGCGGUAAUACGGAGGAUGCGAGCGUUAUCCGGAUUUAUUGGGUUUAAAGGGUGCGUAGGCGGGCUGUUAAGUCAGCGGUAAAAGCCCGGGGCUCAACCCCGGCGAGCCGUUGAAACUGG
rnacentral:rRNA from 1 species